AACGAACGCUGGCGGCGUGCUUAACGCAUGCAAGUCGAACGGAAAGGCCCUGCUUUUGUGGGGUGCUCGAGUGGCGAACGGGUGAGUAACACGUGAGUAACCUGCCCUUGACUUUGGGAUAACUUCAGGAAACUGGGGCUAAUACCGGAUAGGAGCUCCUGCUGCAUGGUGGGGGUUGGAAAGUUUCGGCGGUUGGGGAUGGACUCGCGGCUUAUCAGCUUGUUGGUGGGGUAGUGGCUUACCAAGGCUUUGACGGGUAGCCGGCCUGAGGGGGUGACCGGCCACAUUGGGACUGAGAUACGGCCCAGACUCCUACGGGAGGCAGCAGUGGGGAAUAUUGCACAAUGGGCGGAAGCCUGAUGCAGCAACGCCGCGUGCGGGAUGACGGCCUUCGGGUUGUAAACCGCUUUCGCCUGUGACGAAGCGUGAGUGACGGUAAUGGGUAAAGAAGCACCGGCUAACUACGUG
rnacentral:rRNA from 1 species